AUGCGGAUGACGAGUCUCAAACAGGGCGAAAUGAGCAUCCUGGAU
rnacentral:hammerhead_ribozyme from 1 species